UUGUUAGUAAACGUGCAUGAUGGUCUUUUGUCAUCAUCGAAACUUGAUGUCGUAUGUUGUAUGACACUUUGUCUUUACAUACUCCCCCUUUUUGAUGAUGACAACCUGUAUAGAUCAACGUGACAAACAGAAUGCGGUAUUGACACAUUUUGCACACUCCCCCUUUCUUUUGUAAUCUAAGGCCAUUUGCAGAAAGCGAAAGCGACUGUUAGUUGUGGGCAUUUUGUCAGACUGUUAGUUGUGAAUAUUUUGUCAGCAUUUUUC
rnacentral:lncRNA from 1 species